rnacentral:rRNA from 1 species
UACGAAGGGGGCUAGCGUUGCUCGGAAUCACUGGGCGUAAAGCGCACGUAGGCGGAUUGUUAAGUCAGAUGUGAAAGCCCCGGGCUCAACUUGGGAACUGCAUUUGAUACUGUCAGACUAGAGUACAGAAGAGGUGACUGGAAUUCCCAGUGUAGCGGUGAAAUGCGUAGAUAUUGGGAGGAACACCAGAUGCGAAGGCGGGUCACUGGGCUGAUACUGACGCUGAAGUGCGAAAGCCAGGGGAGCGAACGGG